rnacentral:rRNA from 1 species
UACGGAGGAUGCGAGCGUUAUCCGGAUUUAUUGGGUUUAAAGGGUGCGCAGGCGGUCUGUUAAGUCAGCGGUCAAAGCCCGGGGCUCAACCCCGGCCCGCCGUUGAAACUGGCAGUCUCGAGUUGGAGAGAAGUAUGCGGAAUGCGCGGUGUAGCGGUGAAAUGCGUAGAUAUUAGGAGGAACACCAGUGGCGAAGGCGGCCUGCUGGACGAUGACUGACGUUGAGGCACGAAAGCGUGGGUAUCGAACAGG